rnacentral:rRNA from 1 species
GAUCCUGGCUCAGGAUGAACGCUGGCGGCGUGCCUAAUACAUGCAGGUCGAUCGCACUACGUCGGUAGUGAGAGGCGAACGGGUGAGUAACACGUAGGUAACAUAUCUAUAUGACGAGGAUAACGGUUGGAAACGACUGCUAAGACUGGAUAGGAGUAGAGGAGGCAUCUCUUUUACUUUAAAGGACUUUUCGGAGUACGCGUAUGGAGUGACCUGCGGCGCAUUAGUUAGUUGGUGGGGUAGUGGCCUACCAAGACGAUGAUGCGUAGCCGGACUGAGAGGUUGAACGGCCACAUUGGGACUGAGACACGGCCCAGACUCCUACGGGAGGCAGCAGUAGGGAAUUUUCGGCAAGUGGGGGGAACCCUGACCGAAGCAACGCCGCGUGAAUGAACGAAGUACUUCGGUAUGUAAAGUUUCUUUUAUUAAGGAAGAAAGUGCAGUGGAAAAACUGUAUAGACGGUACUUAUUGAAUAAGCCCCGGCUAACUACGUGCCAGCCGCGGC